rnacentral:lncRNA from 1 species
CUGUAUGGCGCUACAGAGGGUAGUACGUACAGCCCAGUACAUCACUGGGGCCAAGCUUCCUGCCAUCCAGGACCUAUAUACUAGGCGGUGUCAGAGGAAGGCCCAAAAAAUUGUCAAAGACUCCAGUCACUCAUGUCAUAGACUGUUCUCUCUACUACUGCAUGGCAAAUGGUACCGGAGCACCAAGUCUAUGUCCAAAAGGCUCCUUAAGGGCUUGUAAGUAAGCAUUUCACAGUAAGGUCUACACCUGUUGUAUUCGAUACAGGUACUUUCUCUCAGAUACAGGACAAAGGGUAGAGAUGAGUGAGAGGAGAGAGAAGAGGACAGAGGGUAGAGAUGAGUGAGAGGAGAGAGGGUAGAGAUGAGUGAGAGGAGAGAGAAGAGGAGAGAGGGUAGAGAUGAGUGAGAGGAGAGAGGGUAGAGAUGAGUGAGAGGAGAGAGGGUAGAGAUGAGAGGAGAGAGGGUAGAGAUGAGUGAGAAGAGAGAGGGUAGAGAUGAGUGAGAAGAGAGAGGGUAGAGAUGAGUGAGAGGAGAGAGGGUAGAGAUGAGAGGGUAGAGAUGAGUGAGAGGAGAGAGGGUAGAGAUGAGUGAGAGGAGAGAGGGUAGAGAUGAGAGGAGAGAGGGUAGAGAUGAGUGAGAGGAGAGAGGGUAGAGAUGAGAGGAGAGAGGGUAGAGAUGAGAGGGUAGAGGUGAGUGAGAGGAGAGAGGGUAGAGAUGAGUGAGAGGAGAGAGGGUAGAGAUGAGUGAGAGGAGAGAGGGUAGAGAUGAGAGGAGAGAGGGUAGAGAUGAGAGGGUAGAGGUGAGUGAGAGGAGAGAGGGUAGAGAUGAGUGAGAGGAGAGAGGGUAGAGAUGAGAGGAGAGAGGGUAGAGAUGAGAGGGUAGAGAUGAGUGAGAGGAGAGAGGGUAGAGAUGAGAGGAGAGAGGGUAGAGAUGAGAGGGUAGAGGUGAGUGAGAG